UACGGGGGGGGGCAAGCGUUGUUCGGAAUUACUGGGCGUAAAGGGCUCGUAGGCGGCCAACUAAGUCAGACGUGAAAUCCCUCGGCUUAACCGGGGAACUGCGUCUGAUACUGGAUGGCUUGAGUUUGGGAGAGGGAUGCGGAAUUCCAGGUGUAGCGGUGAAAUGCGUAGAUAUCUGGAGGAACACCGGUGGCGGAAGGCGGCAUCCUGGACCAACACUGACGCUGAGUGAGCGAAAGCCAGGGGAGCAAAACGGG
rnacentral:rRNA from 1 species